rnacentral:lncRNA from 1 species
AGGUUUGUUAUAUGGGAUGUAUAGGCAAAAAUCCCUUAUGUUAAUUAUAUGGAACCCAUAAAACGUAACUUAUCAAUGAACUCCAAAGUUAACUGUUUCAGCACAAAACAAAAAGAUAUUUUUGUAAACUCAAUACUGGAUAACUAAGUGGAUAGUCAUGCUUGAUAUUACUUUUAGAGCUAAAAACGAGUUAACAAACAGUGCCUGAUUAUUUGAAAUUAUGCUCAAAAUCUGUAAUUAGUAAUGACUUAAAGAGUUUUCACACCAGGUACGAUUAUCAAGCACCACACAUGCGAAUCAACAUGACUUACAAAUCAUUCAACCUUAACAGUUUACAAUCUCAUUAAUACAAUUGGAAAUAUGAUACAAGUGAAUCAAUCAAACUAAAAUUUCUAAACUAAGCAAUAAAGGCAGAAAGUACAGAUGUAAACAUGCAGUUCCUCAUCAUUUAAACUUCAAAAUGGUUUUCCACAUGUGAAUAUAAUUUUCAGUAUCACUUGAGCAUGAGAAUAUACCUGGAAAUAGAAUAGAAGUGAAGAAGAAGAAGUCAGCUAAGACAGUAACGAGAACCAACAAUAAACAACACCCAUCAAUGUUGAACAACAAGCAGCAAAUGAUCAAAAGCAGCCCAGAAAUAGAUUCAAAAGUCCAGAAAUGUUGGAAAUCAAACAGGACCAAUAGAUCAACCCAAAACAAGCUUGAAUAAACCCAAACCAGCAAGCAAUUGAACCCAGAAAUCAAGCACACUCAGCAACUAACCCAAUAUCUAACUCGACCCAAUCAAAUUUCAUUCAACAAAUGAUUCCAAACACCUUUAAAUCUCAAAUAUUGAACAGAAAUAGGGAAAUUCAAGAUAUAUUGGUUUCGACAUAAGCUAGAGAAUUGAACUAAGGCUGGAAUUCGAAAAUGAAGUAAGGAAAAGCAAUGUAACAUUGUAUUUGGAUUUUCUGUUGUUUUUUUAUUUUUCUGAAUUUUUUGAAGGAAGCUAAGAUCUAAAGGAGUUUGGAUUUGAAAUUCAAAUUUCAGAUCUAUGAAACUUGAAGAAUGUUUUGGGGGGAAUGUUUAGAGGCUGAGAAACUUGUUUUUUAUGGCAAAAGGGAUUGCCUUUUAUGGGCAAAAGAGAGGGGAUGCCCUCAGAUUUUUCUAUUUUCUUUCUAAUUCUUUUUAAAAUUUCAUUUUUGCCUAAGUGUCCCUAAAGUUGUGACUUGUGUUUCAAGUAAUACCAUUAUAUUGCCUGAAAUUUUAUUUUGGACCCUAUCUAGAAGACUCUAGGGAGUUCUUAUUCAGCUACUUGUAAGAUUCCCUAUUUGAAUUGCCUAUUUUGCCCUUACUCUUUCCCCUAAAUUACUAACUACAUCUUCUAACCAACCCAACCCUUUAACCUUAGUUAGGAUUUGACUAUAACUAAACUUAACAAUUCUAAUUCAGCUAUAUCCAAAUAACUAAUAGAAAAUUCAAACAAUUCAACAAAAAUUUAGCCCUAAUUAAUGCUAAAUAUGAAUUAAAACCACAAUUAAAACAACAAAUUUAUACUUACAAUUAACAUCUUAAUGAAAAUUAAGAUUCAAACUCAAGUCAGAUUAAGCGGAAUCAAAAUGGUAUGAAGAGCAGAACAGAUUAUUCAAUUGAAACCCUAUGAACUAAACAUUGAUUAAUCAAUAGAAAAAUGGGAACUAAAAUGUAAUUCAAAUAAGAAAUUAUUCACGAAAUCACAUAAUCAACUAACAUUAGAAACUAUGUAGGUAUAAUCAUCACAGACAAAAAUUAAACUAGAAAUCAAAAAUUAUGAAGAAAACAAAAUUAAACAAAGAAGAAGGGAGAUGAACAACACUCACUGAUUUGAGUCUUCAACUUGACUGAAUCCAUACAUGGUCUUCAAAUAGUAUUAUGCAUUUGUUCUUACUAAGAGCAAACACAUAAUACAAUUUGAAACCAUAUGAGCCCUUGGCUAACCCUAGAAAUUCCAGAACCUUUGACGGAAACCCUAGAUCUAAAAUUCAUGCAGUUCUACUUAAAUUCGAAAAAUUUUGAUUUGGGAUUUGGGAAGAGGAAGGUUGGGAGAGUGUUGGGUGUGAAUUUGCGGUCGUUUGGAUAAACUUGUAUUUUAACAGGAAACUUCGAUUUAAUAUUCGAAACGUUUCGCUGAUAUUCGAGGAAAAAUGGUUACAGAUUUGGGCUGAGGGAGUUGAGGAGAUUCAUGGGUGUAUUUUUGGUUAACUUUGGAGCAUCGCCGCCGAAAAAGGCAAUUUUCAGCCGGCGGCGAACGGUGGAAGAUGGUGAAGCACAUGGGGGUAUGAGGAAGAUGAAGUGUUGUCUCUAGGUUUUCUGAAGAGUUUAGGAA